rnacentral:rRNA from 1 species
AGCGAAUGCUGGCGGCAGGCUUAACACAUGCAAGUCGAGCGGGCACUUCGGUGUCAGCGGCAGACGGGUGAGUAACACGUGGGAACGUACCCUUUGGUUCGGAAUAACGCUGGGAAACUAGCGCUAAUACCGGAUACGCCCUUUUGGGGAAAGGCUUGCUGCCGAAGGAUCGGCCCGCGUCUGAUUAGCUAGUUGGUGGGGUAAUGGCCUACCAAGGCGACGAUCAGUAGCUGGUCUGAGAGGAUGAUCAGCCACACUGGGACUGAGACACGGCCCAGACUCCUACGGGAGGCAGCAGUGGGGAAUAUUGGACAAUGGGCGCAGGCCUGAUCCAGCCAUGCCGCGUGAGUGAUGAAGGCCUUAGGGUUGUAAAGCUCUUUUGUCCGGGACGAUAAUGACGGUACCGGAAGAAUAAGCCCCGGCUAACUUCGUG